rnacentral:rRNA from 1 species
AUACGGAGGGUGCGAGCGUUAAUCGGAAUUACUGGGCGUAAAGCGUGCGUAGGUGGCUUGGUAAGUCGGAUGUGAAAGCCCUGGGCUCAACCUGGGAACUGCAUUCGAUACUGCCUGGCUAGAGUAUAGUAGAGGGAAGUGGAAUUCCGGGUGUAGCGGUGAAAUGCGUAGAUAUCCGGAGGAACACCAGUGGCGAAGGCGGCUUCCUGGACUAAUACUGACACUGAGGUACGAAAGCGUGGGGAGCAAACAGGAUUAGAUACCCCAGUAGUCC